rnacentral:rRNA from 1 species
CCUACGGGUGGCAGCAGUGAGGAAUAUUGGUCAAUGGGCGGAAGCCUGAACCAGCCAAGUAGCGUGCGGGAUGAAGGCCCUACGGGUCGUAAACCGCUUUUGCACGGGGAUAACACCCUCCACUUGUGGAGGUCUGCAGGUACCGUGCGAAUAAGGGCCGGCUAAUUCCGUGCCAGCAGCCGCGGUAAUACGGAAGGCCCGAGUGUUAUCCGGAUUCAUUGGGCUUAAAGGGAGCGUAGGCGGGCGUUCAAGUCAGCUGUAAAAUCGCGCGGCUCAACCGCGCCCCGCAGUUGAAACUGGACGCCUUGAGUUCACAACAGGCAGGCGGAAUUCGUGGUGUAGCGGUGAAAUGCAUAGAUAUCACGCAGAACUCCGAUUGCGAAGGCAGCUUACUAAGCCAUAACUGACACUGAAGCACGAAAGCGUGGGGAUCAAACAGGAUUAGAUACCCCAGUAGUC